rnacentral:rRNA from 1 species
UUGGAGGGCAAGUCUGGUGCCAGCAGCCGCGGUAAUUCCAGCUCCAAUAGCGUAUAUUAAAGUUGUUGCAGUUAAAAAGCUCGUAGUUGAAUUUCGGGAUCAGAGUGUCGGUCGUGCCUCGGUACGCACUGGUAUUAUUGGUUCCUACCUUCUGAAGAACCGCGGUGUCAUUAAUUUGGUGUCGUGGGGAAUCAGGGCUGUUACUUUGAAAAAAUUAGAGUGUUUAAAGCAGGCUUACGCUUGAAUACAUUAGCAUGGAAUAAUGAAAUAGGACGUUUGAUUCUAUUUUGUUGGUUUCUAGGAUUGACGUAAUGAUUAAUUGGGAUAGUUGGGGGCAUUAGUAUUCAAUUGUCAGAGGUGAAAUUCUUGGAUUUAUUGAAGACUAACUACUGCGAAAGCAUUUGCCAAGGGUGUUUUCAUUAAUCAAGAACGAAAGUUAGGGGAUCGAAGACGAUCAGAUACCGUCGUAGUCUUAACCAUAAACUAUGCCGACUAGGGAUCGGAUGAUGUUAAUUUUUUAAUGACUCAUUCGGCGCCUUACGGGAAAC